GGCUUGACGGCCUCUCCGAACGCUGUGCUCCAGUUGUCCUAAAUAUUUUGGUUGGAGACCUGAAAGGCUUCAGUCAGCCCUGGAAAUUAGAUCACAUUUGAUUGAACUUUUGAAAACACCACAUAUGCGAAUCAUAAACACAGGAGAAAAGCAGAAUCAGCUGUUGAAGUGCGAGUAUGAGCACGUCACCCAGUAGUCUCCGAACACCUCCAGUUCCCCGUGUUCCAGAACAUCCAUCCAAGAGAAGAACGGGCUUUACAUGGAAGGUCAGUCUUCCAUGCAUACAGCCACUACUGAGCAAAGCAGCUCGGAAGGGAAGGAUGGAGAAGGGCAUUUUAACAAACAUACUUACCGGGGGUUGGUUAGAGAAGAGGCACAGCAGCAGAAAAAGAAAUAAAAAGUCUAUGAACCUUCAGUUGGUACUGUUUCACUGCUCUGCUCUUGUUGAUGGAUUCUGCAUUUCAUUGUCUUCGCCUAUACCAGAUAUGACUGAUGUCAAUAGUCAGUAUCCCCAGCUUCGGAUAUUUGCUGACGUCAAGUGGCUAAUGGCUCCCUUUAGCUGAAUUACAAUAGAAACUCUACCAGGCUAAAUAACAAUUCUUUUGGCGAUUUUUAUAUGCAGCCACACUUGAGAGCAGCCAGUCUAGACUUCUAGUUUGAGAAUAUUUGAAAAUACUCAGCCGCAGCAGAGAAUCAUCUCUCCCAACCUAUGGAGCGUAAGGAACGCGUCGAUGUACCUUCUGGCUUGACACACUCCUCUCCAAGAAUCCAGGUUUUGUGACACAGAACUACAUUUUCCUCCCAGAGUCAGGCUUGUCCCCUAGCUGUGCAAUAAACAGUAGUUACAUAAUUUUAGUUAAGGGCUGUCAAUGUUCAAACUUAGUUUUCGAAAAAAAAUUUAGAAAACCAUAAUCACAAGAGAAUUUAAACACUGAAACUUUGGACAAUACAGAAAGAAUGAUUCACCUGAUGGGAAACAUGAUGAGUAGAGAAGUGGAAACAAACAAAGGAUAUUAGGAAUAAAGCAGAUGUGUUACAUAAUGCUUUAGAGGAUGAAGGAGCUAGAAACAGUUAUAAAUACAUACCUAUUAUUAAGAUACAGGAUGUAGCAAACUAAAUUUCUUGAAAAAUAUAAAGGUAAAUGAUACUACAUAAAGUAAAUUAAGAAAUAGAGGCAUAGACAUGAUUUUGAGGAAUAAGAGACCUCAUCCAAGGGGCCAUCUUCUAAGGCAGCUCUGGAGUGCAGCAUAGGAAAGUGAAUUUUA
rnacentral:lncRNA from 1 species